GGGCCCGUAGCUCAGCGGCAGAGCACCCGGCUCAUAACCGGUGGCGCGCAGGUUCGAAUCCUGCCGGGCCCACCA
rnacentral:tRNA from 1 species